AGCUAAUACAUGCUAAAAACCCCAACUUCGGGAGGGGUGUGUUUAUUAGAUAAAAAACCAACGCCCUUCGGGGCUCCUUGGUGAUUCAUGAUAACCUCUCAGAUCGCACGGCCUUGCGCCGGCGACGGUUCAUUCAAAUUUCUGCCCUAUCAACUUUCGAUGGUAAGGUAUUGGCUUACCAUGGUUUCAACGGGUAACGGGGAAUUAGGGUUCGAUUCCGGAGAGUGAGCCUGAGAAACGGCUCACACAUCCAAGGAAGGCAGCAGGCGCGCAAAUUACCCAAUCCCGAUACGGGGAGGUAGUGACAAUAAAUACUGAUACAGGGCUCUUUUGGGUCUUGUAAUUGGAAUGAGUACAAUUUAAACCUCUUAACGAGGAACAAUUGGAGGGCAAGUCUGGUGCCAGCAGCCGCGGUAAUUCCAGCUCCAAUAGCGUAUAUUAAAGUUGUUGCAGUUAAAAAGCUCGUAGUUGAAUCUUUGGCCUGGCUGGCGGGUCCGCCUCACCGCGUGCACUUGUCCGGCCGGGCCUUCUCUUCUGGAGAACCGCAUGCCCUUCACUGGGCGUGUUGGGGACCAGGACUUUUACUUUGAAAAAAUUAGAGUGUUCAAAGCAGGCCUUUGCUCGAAUACGUUAGCAUGGAAUAAUAGAAUAGGACGUGCGGUCCUAUUUUGUUGGUUUCUAGGACCGCCGUAAUGAUUAAUAGGGACAGUCGGGGGCAUCAGUAUUCAAUUGUCAGAGGUGAAAUUCUUGGAUUUAUUGAAGACUAACUACUGCGAAAGCAUUUGCCAAGGAUGUUUUCAUUAAUCAGUGAACGAAAGUUAGGGGAUCGAAGACGAUCAGAUACCGUCGUAGUCUUAACCAUAAACUAUGCCGACUAGGGAUCGGGCGGUGUUAUCGAUUUGACCCGCUCGG
rnacentral:rRNA from 1 species